GAGUUCGGUCGCAAGGAUAAAACUCAAAGGAAUUGACGGGGGCUCACACAAGCGGUGGAGCAUGUGGCUUAAUUCGAAGCAACGCGAAGAACUUUAUCCUUGGUUUGACAUGUACGGAUGCCCUUCCUGAAAGGGAAGUAAGCUGCCCUCGUGGUGAAACGUACACAGGUGCUGCAUGGCUGUCGUCAGCUCGUGCUGUGAAGUGUUGGGUUAAGUCCCUUAACGAGCGAAACCCCUGUCGUUAGUUACCAGCGCGCCUUCGGGUGGCGGGGACUCUAACGAGACUGCCGGUGUCAAACCGGAGGAAGGCGGGGAUGACGUCAAGUCCUCAUGGCCUUUAUGCCCAGGGCUGCACACGUGCUACAAUGGCGCGCACAAAGCGAAGCAAUACCGCGAGGUGGAGCAAAUCGCAUAAAACGCGCCCCAGUUCGGAUCGUAGUCUGCAACUCGACUACGUGAAGGUGGAAUCGCUAGUAAUCGCGUAUCAGCAACGACGCGGUGAAUACGUUCCUGAGCCUUGUACACACCGCCCGUCAAGUCAUGGAAGCCGGGAGUGCCCGAAGUGGCUGCGAUUCAGCAGUCCCUACGGCAAGCUCGGUGACUGGGACUAAGUCGUAACAAGGUAACCAAGGGCGAA
rnacentral:rRNA from 1 species